rnacentral:rRNA from 1 species
AUUGAACGCUGGCGGCAUGCCUUACACAUGCAAGUCGAACGGUAACAGGUCUUCGGAUGCUGACGAGUGGCGAACGGGUGCGUAAUACAUCGGAACGUGCCCGAUCGUGGGGGAUAACGAGGCGAAAGCUUUGCUAAUACCGCAUACGAUCUACGGAUGAAAGCGGGGGAUCUUCGGACCUCGCGCGGACGGAGCGGCCGAUGGCAGAUUAGGUAGUUGGUGGGAUAAAAGCUUACCAAGCCGACGAUCUGUAGCUGGUCUGAGAGGAUGAUCAGCCACACUGGGAAUGAGACACGGCCCAGACUCCUACGGGAGGCAGCAGUGGGGAAUUUUGGACCAUGGGCGAAAGCCUGAUCCAGCCAUGCCGCGUGCAGGAUGAAGGCCUUCGGGUUGUAAACUGCUUUUGUACGGAACGAAAAGCCUCUUUCUAAUAAAGAGAGGUCAUGACGGUACCGUAAGAAUAAGCACCGGCUAACUACGUG